AAAUUUAUUUAUUAUAUUAAAAAAAGUAUUUUUGAUUUUUAUUAUUUAAAAGAAUAAAUUAAUUUAAUUAUAGUUUAUUAGUAAAGUGAUUGAAAUUAAAUUAAAUAAUUUAAAGAAAAUUUUAUUUAUUGUACCUUGUGUAUCAGGGUUUAUUAAAUUAAUAUUAUAUAUUUAAUUUUCUCGAUUUUAUAAGAGUUAAUAAAUUAUAUUUUUUAUUGUGAAAUAAAUAUUAUUAAUAAUUUAUUGGAAAUGAAACGUUAUUCGUUUAUAAAUAUAUCUAGUUUUUGAAGAAAUAAGUUUAAUUUGUUAUUUUUAAAUAAUUAUUUAAUUGUAAAAUUAAUUAUUAUUAAAUAGUAUUAAUAGUUUUUAGGAUAAGCUAAAAAUUAAAUUUUUAUAAAAUUUAAUUAUUGUAUAUAAAGUAGGAUUAUAAAUUUCCAUCGCUUAUUUUGUUUUAAUUAGUUAUAUAUAAUUUGUAUUUAUAUAAAUUUUAAUUUUUUUAUUCAAAUGAUUUAUUUAAAUAAAAAUAUAAUCAAUAAUGAUAAAAUUAGUAUAAUUUAUUUUAAAUUUUUAUUAUAAAUUUUAGGUUAAAUAAAGGAAUUCGGCAAAUCUAAUUUUCGCCUGUUUAUUAAAAACAUGUCUUUUUGAUUAUAAUUUAAGGUUUAACCUGCCCGAUGAAAUUUGAAUGGCCGCAGUAUUUUGACUGUGCUAAGGUAGCAUAAUAAUUAGUUUUUUAAUUGGAAGCUAGAAUGAAUGGUUGGACGAGAAAUUAUCUGUCUCUAUUUAAUUUAAUUAAAAUUUUAUUUUUGAGUCAAAAAGCUUAAAUAAUAUUAAAAGACGAGAAGACCCUAUAGAGUUUUAUGCAAUAAAAUUAUUAAAUUUUUAGAAUUUAUAUUUUUAUAUUUUAAUUUGUAUUUUAUUGGGGUGAUAAAAAAAAUUAAUAAACUUUUUUAUAUUAAAACAUUAAUUUAUGGUUAAUUGAUCCAUUAUUAUGAUUAUAAGAUUAAAUUACCUUAGGGAUAACAGCGUUAUUUUUUUUGCGAGUUCUUAUCAAAAAAAAAGUUUGCGACCUCGAUGUUGGAUUAAAUUUUAUUAUUGGCGCAAAAGUUAAUAAAUUAGGUCUGUUCGACCUUUAGAAAUUUACAUGAUCUGAGUUUAAACCGGUGUGAGCCAGGUUGGUUUCUAUCUUUAAUAAAUUAUUAUAUUUUAGUACGAAAGGACCAAAUAU
rnacentral:rRNA from 1 species